ensembl:lncRNA
UAAGGUAUCAGUUAUUAACAUUAACUAUAUUAAUUAACAUGAACAAUAAUUAUAUAGCAUGUCAAUGUCAGUUAAUAGUCAAAACUUAAAAAAAAAAAUUAUCUGUUAACAUUAGUUAAUGCACUGUGAACUAAAAUCAACAAACAUUAAUAAAUCCUGUGAAAAUAUAUUGUUCAUGUUCAUUUACUAAUGUUUACAAAUUACACCUUAUUAUAAAGUGUUACAGUGUGUAAAACCUUUAUUGAUUUACACUGUGUGCACAAUUAUUAGGCAUGUUGAUAUUCUGAUUUUUUUUUUCCAAGUACAUUUUACCAAUUCCCAACGACAUCAAUCUUAAUAACUACCAUUAAUUUUGUAUUUAAUCAUUUAUGAGUGAUAUAUAAUUGUCCAUGAAGGCUGGAAGAGAAAAACUCCUUAUAUUCAGGUGUGCAGAAUUAUUAGGCAAUUCUUUUUUUUACAGAUGAAAUGAGCCAAAAAAGAGUUGUAACUCAGACUAAAAAGUCAAAAAUUAUUAAAUCCCCAUGAGAAUUAUUCAAAACUAUUGCAAUAAAAAAAUUGACAGGUGGAGAAAAGACACAAGUUAACUGCAAAAGAAUUAAGAAUUAAGACUUUUCAGAAUAGAAGAUGGAAUAAAAAUGAGCUCCCCAAACUUACUGCCAGAUUCUGGAACAGGGGUCAGGAACCUUUUUUGACCAAAGAGCAAAAUUUUUAUUUUUGGUUAAGAGCCAUUUUUCCAAAAGAGCAUAUAUGUGCUUGGAAAAUAUCAUCUGAAUAUCAAGUGCCUAAUAAUGAUGCACGCCGUGCAAAUAAUUUUUAAUGAUUUUAUUGAUCUAUAAGCAUUUGUGAAAUAUUUUUGCCGGCAUUACAGCUUGGUCUUCAUCUGUGAGCUUAUCUGUUUUACUGUUACAUCAUGAGUUGUGUAAAUUCAGAUAAAUGUCAUGUCACAGGAUGUCAUAGGUCAGUAUUUAAAUGAGUUUGAAAUUAUUAUUAUUAUUAUUAUUAUAAACCUAU